CAUCGAAGGCGUUUCGGAGCCGUAACAAAAGCACAUGAUGUCACAGAGGCACUGCGGAGUGAUCAGGAAGCACAGCCUGGGACCAUUUGCAUCCUUCCUUUUAACUAACAUUUUCCUAAUGACGUGCGCAGCGUGCUGAGCGGGCAAUCGCAUUAUAUACACACAAAGGAGUCAUAAAAAUUCCAGGAUGACGGAACAAAAUCCUUACAGAGCUCCACGGAUAAAAUACAACCGCGUUGGAAGGAGUUGGAACGGUCCACGGAGGGAGCACAGUGGCUGCAGCUCAUCGCAUGGAGAAACCCCUUCAUCCUCCAGUCAAUGAUCCCAUGGGGUCCCAACAAGGGGAGAGUCCACGGUGACAAACCACGGUGCUGCCAAUGUCCCCGAGGAGCCUUGGGAAGGGAGGAAAUCAAAAGCGCUUCCAGUCGAGAGAGGGUUUUGCUCUUCAGUUGUAGGGAAGAUAUUCCAAACCCAAACCACAAAGCAAAUAUCGUUAAGGGAGGCC
rnacentral:lncRNA from 1 species